AAGAAAACGAUGCCUGUCGGGGCACAGGCUCCUAAACCCAACCUCAUAUCGCCUCCUACGAGUAGCUUCCAGGUGUCUACAGGGAGCCCGGGGUCAUGCUGGCAUCAUUCAUUCUCCACGCAUCAGAUGAUCCUGCGGCCCCUCAGUGCCAGGCCCCACUGGCCCUCUGCGCACAUCAGUGACUCUGAUGUUCUCCCCCCCGCAUGCUGCCAGUCUGAUGGUGGAGACAGAACAGCAGUCCCGGAUGGUGGAGGCAAUGCCCAGAGCUGUGGCAGCCACCUUGCAGCCGUGAAGCGCCAGCAGGAAUGACAGUCAAGAGAACCACGGAGAUGCCAGCCCCUGGACCCACAGCAGCGGCACCUGCUUCCAGACUCAGAGUGUGAGAAAAAAAUAAACUCCUAUUUGUUUAUGGCAAGGCCAACAACUGCACUUUCCACACUCAGUGCCACGAAGUGCAGCUCUAAGCUGGGGAUUUCUGUGCAGAGAUGAUCCACUGAGUGCAACCCACCACCGUGCGGACACCACCCCUGCAGAACCAUCUGUGAAAACAACCCCAGGCCCAGACAUAUGGGCCAGCUAAGCUUCGUAGCCCUCGAAAUACAGGGAGUGCCCCCUCUGGACCCUCGAGCCCACAGUCCAUCCACCACAGAGGUGUCUGCCGCUCAUCAGAUAGUUCCUACCAAGAAAAUGCUGUGUGAACAAAUCUGUGUGGCAAACCGGCACGGGGAGAAAGCUGACUUCCAAGGACGUCUACCAACUGUCACUUGCAAACCAGAACUUGCCUCUUUGUAGGUGAAGACUGGCAGGGCUGAAGAAAUGAUCUCGUGUUGAAAUUAAUGAUGAACUUCAGGGUGAGGUGACUCAGGUCGAAUGCUGUUGAAUGUUGGUGUCAUGGGACUUUUACAAGAAGUAAAACUGGGCUAUAAAAAUGAUCCCCUUCCCCUCACUAGAGGAGGGAGAUUCUAUUCCUCUCUCUGUCUUUCCCUCUCUCUAUAUAUACCAAAGGUCAAAUCUUUGGUAUUUUGCAUUGAGUCUUUAAUUAUUCAUUCACUUUGACCUAGUAAUUGCACUUCAGAAAAAUAAAGGAAAAACUCAGGG